AAACUCCGUGCACACUAGACCCCUAAUCCCAGAGCUACGAGGCACAAAGGCUAACCAAUAAGUGACAUUAAUGAGAAACCAGAAAGUGCGAACUCCUCUGUCCUGAAGACUUUCCUGUGGCAGAACACCAACUACAAAGCACUGACACUGGAGACUCCUUCCAUGGUUGCAGGGAGACCAAAGGCUAUCACAGGACAUGGGGAACACGGCAGGGGACACCUUGGACGGGGUGCCAACCAUCGCAGGGCACAAUCAUACACAAUAUGGAAAUGACAAUCAGCCUAUAUCACGUCUUUGGACCGAGGGAGGAGUCCAGAGUACCCGGAAGAAACCCCUAAAGCACGG
ensembl:lncRNA